GUUCCUAUAGCUUAAUGGUAGAGCUACUCCCUCUUAAGGAGAAGGUUCAAGGUUCAAGUCCUUGUGGGAACA
rnacentral:tRNA from 1 species